AGAGCGAACGUUAGCGGCGCGCCUAACACAUGCAAGUCGCACGAGAAAGGGCUUCGGCCCCGGUAAAGUGGCGCACGGGUGCGUAACACGUAGGUAAUCUUCCCUGUGGCGGGGGAUAACGACCCGAAAGGGUCGCUAAUACCGCAUGAGACUACGACCAUUACGGUGGAUGUAGUUAAAGCUGGCCUCUACACGUAAGCCAGCGCCAUAGAAUGAGCCUGCGGCCCAUCAGCUAGUUGGUAAGGUAACGGCUUACCAAGGCUAAGACGGGUAGCUGGUCUGAGAGGAUGAUCAGCCACACUGGCACUGAAACACGGGCCAGACUCCUACGGGAGCAGCAGUGGGGAAUAGUGGUCAA
rnacentral:rRNA from 1 species